rnacentral:rRNA from 1 species
UGAGGAAUAUUGGUCAAUGGGCGAGAGCCUGAACCAGCCAAGUCGCGUGAAGGAAGACUGCCUUAUGGGUUGUAAACUUCUUUUAUACAGGAAUAAAAAGGCUUACGUGUAGGCCAUUGCAAGUACUGUAUGAAUAAGCAUCGGCUAACUCCGUGCCAGCAGCCGCGGUAAUACGGAGGAUGCGAGCGUUAUCCGGAUUUAUUGGGUUUAAAGGGUGCGCAGGCGGGCUUUUAAGUCAGCGGUGAAAUCUGGACGCUUAACGUCCAAACUGCCGUUGAAACUGGGAGUCUUGAGUAUGGAUGAGGUAGGCGGAAUUCGUUGUGUAGCGGUGACAUGCAUAGAUAUAACGAGGAACUCCGAUUGCGUAGGCAGCUUACUGAGCCAUAACUGACGCUCAUGCACGAAAGCGUGGGGAUCAAACAGGAUUAGAUACCCUGGUAGUCCACGCCGUAAACGAUGAUUACUAGUUGUAUGCGAUAUGAUAGUAUGUGACUAAGCGAAAGCGAUAAGUAAUCCACCUGGGGAGUACGCCGGCAACGGUGAAACUCAAAGGAAUUGACGGGGUCAUAGCUGUUUCCUG